GAAGGUUAAACUAAGCCACUUCUUUUGCAUCCCACUCCCAUGGUGUGACGGGCGGUGUGUACAAGGCCCGGGAACGUAUUCACCGUAGCAUUCUGAUCUACGAUUACUAGCGAUUCCGACUUCAUGGAGUCGAGUUGCAGACUCCAAUCCGGACUACGACAAGCUUUGUGGGAUUCGCUCCACCUCGCGGUAUUGCUGCCCUCUGUACCUGCCAUUGUAGCACGUGUGUAGCCCAUCCCGUAAGGGCCAUGAUCAAACUCUA
rnacentral:rRNA from 1 species